UAACUUUGAGCGGUGGAUCACUCGGCUCGUGCGUCGAUGAAGAGCGCAGCCACGCUGCGUGAAUUAAUGUGAAUUGCAGAACACAUUGAACAUCGACAUCUUGAACGCACAUGGCGGCCUCGGGUCCGUCCCGAGGCCACGCCCGUCUGAGGGUCGGC
rnacentral:rRNA from 2 species